GACGAACGCUGGCGGCGUGCUUAACACAUGCAGGUCGAACGGAAAGGCCCUGCUUUUGUGGGGUGCUCGAGUGGCGAACGGGUGAGUAACACGUGAGUAACCUGCCCUUGACUUUGGGAUAACUUCAGGAAACUGGGGCUAAUACCGGAUAGGAGCUCCUGCUGCAUGGUGGGGGUUGGAAAGUUUCGGCGGUUGGGGAUGGACUCGCGGCUUAUCAGCUUGUUGGUGGGGUAGUGGCUUACCAAGGCUUUGACGGGUAGCCGGCCUGAGAGGGUGACCGGCCACAUUGGGACUGAGAUACGGCCCAGACUCCUACGGGAGGCAGCAGUGGGGAAUAUUGCACAAUGGGCGGAAGCCUGAUGCAGCAACGCCGCGUGCGGGAUGACGGCCUUCGGGUUGUAAACCGCUUUCGCCUGUGACGAAGAGUGAGUGACGGUAAUGGGUAAAGAAGCACCGGCUAACUACGUG
rnacentral:rRNA from 1 species